UACGGGGGGAGCAAGCGUUGUUCGGAUUUACUGGGCGUAAAGGGCGCGUAGGCGGCGUGACAAGUCACUUGUGAAAUCUCCGGGCUUAACUCGGAGCGGCCAAGUGAUACUGUCGUGCUAGAGUGCGGAAGGGGCUACUGGAAUUCUCGGUGUAGCGGUGAAAUGCGUAGAUAUCGAGAGGAACACCGGUGGCGAAGGCGAGUCCCUGGACAACACCUGACACUGAGGCACGAAAGCUAGGGGAGCAAACAGG
rnacentral:rRNA from 1 species